rnacentral:RNase_P_RNA from 1 species
AAAGCAGGUCGGCUUAUCGCUACUUGCGUGAGUACGUAGAGGAAAGUCGGGGCAGCACAGAGCACCGCAGCGGUUAACGGCCGUCAGGGAGUAAUCUUUGGUCACUGCUACAGAGACGAGUUGCGCAUCAGCGCGCUGAUGCGCAGGUGAAACGAGCACACUGCGGGCUGCAAGCUCAAGUAAACCAACGCACGAGGGCUGCUCGCCCGAGUUGGAGGGUAGAGCGCGAGAGAGGUGCAUGGCAACAUGUACUCAAGAUUAAUGAUAGGCUAAUACAGAACCCCGCUUAUAGACCUACUUUCGUG